rnacentral:rRNA from 1 species
UCCAUUCCACGGAUUCCGUGACGCAGCUAACGCAUUAAGUUCCCCUGCCUGGGUGAGUACGGCCAGCAAGGCUAANAACUCAAAGGAAUUGACGGGGACCCGCACAAGCGCGGAGCAUGCGGAUUAAUUCGAUGCAACGCGAAGAACCUUACCAAGGCUUGACAUAUACGAGAACGGGCCAGAAAUGGUCAACUCUUUGGACACUCGUAAACAGGUGGUGCAUGGUUGUCGUCAGCUCGUGUCGUGAGAUGUUGGGUUAAGUCCCCGCAACGAGCGGCAACCCUCGUUCUAUGUUGCCACGCACGUAAUGGUGGGAACUCAUGGGAUACUGCCGGGGUCUACUCCGGAGGAAGGUGGGGAUGACGUCAAAUCAUCAUGCCCCUUAUGUCUUGGGCUUCACGCAUGCUACAAUGGCCGGUACAAAGGGCUGCAAUACCGUCGAGGUGGAGCGAAUCCCAAAAAGCCGGUCCCAGUUCGUGAUUGAGGUCUGCAACUCGACCUCAUGAAGUCGAGUCGCUAGUAAUCGCAGAUCANCGACUUCCGGGNUUAU